GAUGAACGCUGGCGGCGUGCUUAACACAUGCAAGUCGAACGGAAGUUUUAAAUGGAAGUUUUCGGAUGGAAAUUUAAAACUUUAGUGGCGGACGGGUGAGUAACGCGUGGGUAACCUGCCGUAUACAGGGGGAUAACACUUAGAAAUAGGUGCUAAUACCGCAUAAGCGCACAGUAUCGCAUGAUACAGUGUGAAAAGCCUUGACGGUAUACGAUGGACCCGCGUCUGAUUAGCUAGUUGGUGAGGUAGAGGCUCACCAAGGCGACGAUCAGUAGCCGGCCUGAGAGGGUGACCGGCCACAUUGGGACUGAGACACGGCCCAAACUCCUACGGGAGGCAGCAGUGGGGAAUAUUGCACAAUGGGGGAAACCCUGAUGCAGCGACGCCGCGUGAGUGAAGGAGUAUUUCGGUAUGUAAAGCUCUAUCAGCAGGGAAGAAAAUGACGGUACCUGACUAAGAGGCCCCGGCUAACUACGUGCCAGCAGCCGCAGUAACAC
rnacentral:rRNA from 1 species